CUUUCCCAGUCCCCGAGGCGGAUCCGGUGUUGCAUCCUUGGAGAGAGCUGAGAGCUGGAGAACCUGCUAAGGCCAUCAAACCUAUUGAUCGGAAGUCAGUCCAUCAGAUUUGCUCUGGGCAGGUGGUACUGAGUCUAAGCACUGCGGUGAAGAAGAUAGUAGAAAACAGUCUGGAUGCUGGUGCCACUAAUAUUGAUCUAAAGCUUAAGGACUAUGGAAUGGAUCUCAUUGAAGUUUCAGGCAAUGGAUGUGGGGUAGAAGAAGAAAACUUUAAAGGCUUAAUCUCUUUCAGCUCUGAAACAUCACACAUCUAAGAUUCAAGAGUUUGCCGACCUAACUCGGGUUGAAACUUUUGGCUUUCGGGGGGAAGCUCUGAGCUCACUUUGUGCACUGAGUGAUGUCACCAUUUCUACCUGCCACGUAUCGGCGAAGGUUGGGACUCGACUGGUGUUUGAUCACGAUGGGAAAAUCAUCCAGAAAACCCCCUACCCCCACCCCAGAGGGACCACAGUCAGCGUGAAGCAGUUAUUUUCUACGCUACCUGUGCGCC
rnacentral:lncRNA from 1 species